rnacentral:misc_RNA from 1 species
GUAACAAGGUUUCCGUAGGUGAACCUGCGGAAGGAUCAUUACAGUAGUCACCCGGGUUGCCGCAAGGCCGCUCGGGUAACCUACCACCCUUUGUUUAUUACACUUUGUUGCUUUGGCAGGCCUGCCUUCGGGCUGCUGGCUCCGGCCGGCGAGCGCUUGCCAGAGGACCUAAACUCUGUUUGUCUAUACUGUCUGAGUACUAUAUAAUAGUUAAAACUUUCAACAACGGAUCUCUUGGUUCUGGCAUCGAUGAAGAACGCAGCGAAAUGCGAUAAGUAAUGUGAAUUGCAGAAUUCAGUGAAUCAUCGAAUCUUUGAACGCACAUUGCGCCCCCUGGUAUUCCGGGGGGCAUGCCUGUCCGAGCGUCAUUACAACCCUCAAGCUCUGCUUGGUGUUGGGCCCCGCCGCCCCGGCGGGCCCUAAAGUCAGUGGCGGUGCCAUCCGGCUCCGAGCGUAGUAAUUCUUCUCGCUCUGGAGGUCCGGUUGUGUGCUUGCCAUCAACCCCCAAUUUUUUUCAGGUUGACCUCGGAUCAGGUAGGGAUACCCGCUGAACUUAAGCAUAUCAAUAA